rnacentral:lncRNA from 1 species
GCAGCUUUUCUCUGCUUUAGUUCCUUUCUGCAGGUUCCUUCCCUGACUUCCCUCAGUAAUGGAAUAUGACCCGGGUGUCAGAAGAUGAAGUAAACCCUUUCCUCCCCAAGUUGCUUUUUUAUCAUGGUGUUUAUCACAGCAAGAGAGAGCAACCUGAAAGACUAGGUGCUGCAGCCUGAUUGGGGUUCUGUCCUUCCUUGGCAAGAUGACACAUCUUCACCUUGAAAUAAUGAGGGGCCACUUCGAGGGCAAAUGGAACAGGAAGGUGAGUGUUCUCUCCCAUUCAGCCCCUAGCUUGAGCCACAACAAUUAGGAUCAAAGACUUUAACAAACU